AUCGGUCGAGAGGAUGAAAUUCUUCUCGGAAAUUGAUAUGUGAAGUUUAUCCUGCUCCCGUGGGGUCAAACUUGCCAACAAUUUGUAUUCCGAGGAACUCAAUCUUGGGCUACAUUCCUUCCAUGGUAGCUUUGAUAACUUUGUUUGCAGCGUGAUUAUCCGCAUAUUUCGAUGCUGCGAGGGCGAGGGCCACAUCACUUGCCUCUCGCAAUCGGAGGCUGUGUAAAACCUUACGUGGUCUUCAGUCAAACCCAGUUGAGCCAGCUCAAACGGAGUUAAGCUGAGAAAAAAGCUUCGCUCGGUCUUCGACAGAUCCAAACGUGAAAUGUCGCAGUUCACUUGAGUAAGCUUUUUUUCGAUCUCUUUUAUCCGUCGAUUUCUUUCGCGGGGCUCCAGCCGUUGCUGUAACAAAUUUCUUUGGGAUUUUGAUGCCACGAGGAAUUUGUAUUCCGAAUCAGUUAUCCCUAGUUUUUUCUUUUCCUUGUCAUCGAUCUCUUUCAAGAAUUUCUUGUCCCCGCAAUCAAGCUCCAAAUACUUUCUAUCCUCGUGAGAAAUCUCCUCGAACCUUGACGUCAUUUGCUUCAUUAUAACCUGCCGCUUUUCCAACGGAUCGCUAACCAUAAGCUCCAAAUCCCUGUCCGUAACCGGAAGUAAUAGUCUCUCCGACGGGGAUAACUUCCUGAUCAAUUUCCUCUGUGCUUCAUUUAAUGUUAUAUUUCUGUGAUUGUCCGGUCCAAUUUUCUCCAGCCUCUUUCUAAGAUCGAUCAGGAAUUCCCGACGACCCUCGUAAGCCAGAAGUUUUCUCUUUUCACGAUCAGAGGCUACCAGAAACUUGAAGUCCGAAUCUGUAGUAGGAAGUAGAUCUUUUUCAGCAUCGGUCAGAGACUUCAGAAGGUGUUGCUCCUUCCUACUCAAAUGAAUUAUCUUCCUUUGAGUAGGACAAGUCUUCUGCAAAAACGAGUUGGGAUGUAGCUCCUUGGUGGCUGAAUUACAAUGAAAUCUAUAUGACUUGACCGAAUAAUUCGAACUCACUUGCAAUCGUGCCAUCAGCUGCCGAAAUUCGCGGCGUCGUUGGUCUCUGGAAUGAUCGUUGCGUGUUUCAAAUUUCUUUUUCAAAUAUUCGAUCGGCGAAAUCUGUCUCAAACCUAAGCCACAUCUAAAAGAAUUCCAGAAGGAACGAUCGGGGUCAGCGAGUGCGGCGAAACAGGAUCUGGAACCUCCUCCGCAUUGUCGGUCCUGUCGUAGCCAGGAUUCUUCGUCAAACUCUUGCCUGAAGCGACGAAUGAGUCCGUGGAUUGACUUAGAAAAAUGAGCGGCAAUCGAUAGGCUGAUGCGAUCGAGUGGAAAUUUUCUCAAACUACAUUACUCGAUCGUUAAAUCGUGUGGGCUCCAGGAUUGUGUACCGGAAAUUAGUAAAAUGUCCGCCUCGCAUUCUCGCGUACAAGAACUUAUAGCAACAAAGGCAAAGUGUGGUCAUCGAUAUGACCAUAACGAUCGUAAUCAUCAGCUUCUGGAAAACGGUUUGUGGUGGAAUACCAUCUGAACCAGUUUCAUCCAAGGCUGGUCUCGCAGGUUCGACUCUAAUGGAGUUUUCAUCGUCCUUGCGAAGUACUCUGAGAAACAAAUCAUCACCCCUUAAUAACAACUGCAGAAAAUUGGACUAGCAAAUAUCAGAAGAACAGAUUUUUUUUAUACAUGAACGUACGCCGUGCUUCCUCGCAUGUAAUUCUCCUCCCUAGUCAACUGACUCUGGUGAAUAAACUGGUUGCGUCCAAGCCAGUAGGCCAAAUCAUUCCUACCGAUUUCCUUCAGUGCUAACUCAACGCGGUGAUGAGCCUUUUCGGAUAGGUCUUGAGGGUUUUCAAGCCAAGAUAUUAAUAAACGUUCGCAAUCGAAUUUUCUCCGAAAUCUCGAGCUCCGAGAGGAAUCGGCACGUCGCUGAGGAUACGGCAGAAGAAGCAAUUUGUAAAAUAGUACACAUUCAUCUGGUCCAAGGUUACUUGACACGUACUCCAAUUCAGGUGCUAAUUGGAUUUGAUACGCUGCUGAGGUUACCUUAUGCGUGAAAAAUCGCUGGUCAGUACCUUUGGUGCAGAAGUUAAUGGCCUGUACAGAUUACCUGAAGCCAGACGAUGAUGACACUCCAGCUACGGUUGAACGGUGUAAUGAAGUCAACCGAUCAUUUCCCCGCACAAGCGUUUAUUUCAGUCUACUUGAAGCGAAACUAUGCGGAUUUUAGACCCACCUUAGACCAUCAGAAUCGUGCCUGGAUUGCGAAUAAGAGGUAGACGAGAGUACCAAAAUAUGGGCCUCGAGAAAUGAAAAAGUCCUGUUGAGAAGUGAACAUUGGGUGACAAAUACGUAAGAAGUUAUUCAAACUGAAUUUCGAAAAUAAGUUUCCACUUAAAAGAGGCAUUGGUAAUUUUUGCCGCUACAUAAAUUCGCCACCGAGAAUAGUUUGGGUCCCGAAAUGAAUUGGUGUAAGAACCUUUUCCCACUGACAAAGACGCCGGUGUUUGGGAGGACAAACAUCUAAGAGAACACGACGAGAAUAAGUAAGAAUUUGACAUUUUUUGGAUGUAAGAUUUCAUUCACUGGGUAUAGCAAGUUAAAACUUAAGAAAUCCAAAGUAAUUGACCUUUCUUUUUAGGCGAUUUUAGAGGAAAUUUUUUUUCUUCGACCACUCUUGACUAAUUGGACCUCGAGGGGUUCGAAAAGGGUACUUAAACGGACGAACGACUGACAGCUGAGAAUAUGGGGAGAAAUAUUUGCUGGCCAAUCUAACACUUUUGUUCUGCUGCUCGCAGCGACUAUAAACUACUAAUUGGAUCUCGAGGAGGAGUGCCAGAAAGUGCUCUAGAGAAAGCAAACGUCCAACAGUUGAGGAAGUAUAAAGAAAAUGCGUUGAAAAUUGGUUUUUACUCAUUUUAAUGGAUGUUACAUGAGAUGAAGACAAUACAAUAACAUACAUAAUACAUCACAACAUGUCAAAAGUGUGUUGCACCUGUUUACAUGACAAAACUUAUGCUCUACAUUAAGAUUAUAAUAAUAACUACGUAAUAUGAUGUUAUUCUUAUCCUGCCUAACAUAAGACAUUAUAGACUACGCCUAUUUCCUCACAUAAUAAUUAGAAUUGUUGUGUCAUAUUCAAACAUGUUUUUGCUUAUGUAUUUGUCAUCUACUCUAAGUGUAUUUGUUAACUUAUGAUAACUACACACUAACUCAAACUCUUGUACUAGAAUUGGAAAAAAAUACA